rnacentral:rRNA from 1 species
AGAGUUUGAUCCUGGCUCAGGAUGAACGCUGGCGGCGUGCUUAACACAUGCAAGUCGAACGAGAGAAGAUCGGUGCUUGCACUGAUCCAAUCGAGUGGCGGACGGGUGAGUAACGCGUGGGUAACCUGCCUCAUACAGGGGAAUAACAGUUGGAAACGGCUGCUAAAACCGCAUAAGCGCACAGUAUCGCAUGAUACAGUGUGAAAAACUCCGGUGGUAUGAGAUGGACCCGCGUCUGAUUAGCUAGUUGGUGAGGUAACGGCCCACCAAGGCGACGAUCGGUAGCCGGACUGAGAGGUUGAACGGCCACAUUGGGACUGAGACACGGCCCAGACUCCUACGGGAGGCAGCAGUGGGGAAUAUUGCACAAUGGGGGAAACCCUGAUGUAGCGACGCCGCGUGGAGGAAGAAGGUCUUCGGAUUGUAAACUCCUGUUGUUGAGGAAGAUAAUGACGGUACUCAACAAGGAAGUGACGGCUAACUACGUGCCAGCAGCCGCGGUAAAACGUAGGUCACAAGCGUUGUCCGGAAUUACUGGGUGUAAAGGGAGCGCAGGCGGGAAGACAAGUUGGAAGUGGAAUCCAUGGGCUCAACCCAUGAACUGCUUUCAAAACUGUUUUUCUUGAGUAGUGCAGAGGUAGGCGGAAUUCCCGGUGUAGCGGUGGAAUGCGUAGAUAUCGGGAGGAACACCAGUGGCGAAGGCGGCCUACUGGGCACCAACUGACGUUGAGGCUCGAAAGUGUGGGUAGCAAACAGGAUUAGAUACCCUGGUAGUCCACACUGUAAACGAUGAUUACUAGGUGUUGGAGGAUUGACCCCUUCAGUGCCGCAGUUAACACAAUAAGUAAUCCACCUGGGGAGUACGACCGCAAGGUUGAAACUCAAAGGAAUUGACGGGGGCCCGCACAAGCAGUGGAGUAUGUGGUUUAAUUCGACGCAACGCGAAGAACCUUACCAAGUCUUGACAUCCCUUGACGAUGCUGGAAACAGUAUUUCUCUUCGGAGCAAGGAGACAGGUGGUGCAUGGUUGUCGUCAGCUCGUGUCGUGAGAUGUUGGGUUAAGUCCCGCAACGAGCGCAACCCUUGCUAUUAGUUGCUACGCAAGAGCACUCUAAUAGGACUGCCGUUGACAAAACGGAGGAAGGUGGGGACGACGUCAAAUCAUCAUGCCCUUUAUGACCUGGGCUACACACGUACUACAAUGGCGUUUAACAAAGAGAAGCAAGACCGCGAGGUGGAGCAAAACUCAAAAACAACGUCUCAGUUCAGAUUGCAGGCUGCAACUCGCCUGCAUGAAGUCGGAAUUGCUAGUAAUCGCGGAUCAGCAUGCCGCGGUGAAUACGUUCCCGGGCCUUGUACUCACCGCCCGUCA